rnacentral:rRNA from 1 species
GACGAACGCUGGCGGCGUGCUUAACACAUGCAAGUCGAACGAAGUGGCGAACGGGUGAGUAACGCGUAAUCAACCUGCCCUUCAGAGGGGGACAACAGUUGGAAACGACUGCUAAAACCCCAUACUGAAGGAGGGGAUUGUGUCGGAUUAGCUAGUCGGGGGGGUAACGGCCCACCAAGGCGAUGGUCAGUAGCCGGGCUGGGGGGAUGGACGGCCACAUUGGGACUGGGACACGGCCCAGACUCCUACGGGGGGCAGCAAUGGGGAAUCUUCCGAAAUGGACGAAAAGCUGGCGGAGCAACGCCGCGUGAGUGGUGACGGCCUUCGGGUUGUAAAGCUCUGUUAAUCGGGACGCGGUACCGGAAUAGAAAGCCACGGCUAACUACGUGCCAGCAGCCGCGGUAAUAC